GACGAACGCUGGCGGCGUGCGUAAUACAUGCAAGUAGAACGCUGAGGUUUGGUGUUUACACUAGACUGAUGAGUUGCGAACGGGUGAGUAACGCGUAGGUAACCUGCCUCAUAGCGGGGGAUAACUAUUGGAAACGAUAGCUAAUACCGCAUAAGAGUAAUUAACACAUGUUAGUUAUUUAAAAGGAGCAAUUGCUUCACUGUGAGAUGGACCUGCGUUGUAUUAGUUAGUUGGUGAGGUAAAGGCUCACCAAGGCGACGAUACAUAGCCGACCUGAGAGGGUGAUCGGCCACACUGGGACUGAGAUACGGCCCAGACUCCUACGGGAGGCAGCAGUAAGGAAUUUUCCACAAUGAGCGAAAGCUUGAUGGAGCGACACAGCGUGCAGGAUGAAGUUCUUCGGAAUGUAAACUGCUGUUAUAAGGGAAGAAAAAAUAGAAUAGGAAAUGAUUUUAUCUUGACGGGGUACCUUAUUAGAAAGCGACGGCAAACUAUGUGCCAGCAGCUGCGGUAAUACAUAGGUCGCAAGCGUUAUCCGGAAUUAUUGGGCGUAAAGCGUCCGUAGGUUUUUUGCUAAGUCUGGAGUUAAAUGCUGAAGCUCAACUUCAGUCCGCUUUGGAUACUGGCAAAAUAGAAUUAUAAAGAGGUUAGCGGAAUUCCUAGUGAAGCGGUGGAAUGCGUAGAUAUUAGGAAGAACACCAAUAGGCGAAGGCAGCUAACUGGUUAUAUAUUGACACUAAGGGACGAAAGCGUGGGGAGCAAACAGG
rnacentral:rRNA from 1 species